rnacentral:tRNA from 1 species
GGCAAGAUGGCCGAGUGGUUAAGGCGGCAGACUCAAGCUCCACCUUGUCACUUUAAAAGUGAUGGAUUUCUGCUGAAGCAAUUCGCGUGGGUUCGAAUCCCACUCUUGUCA